UACGUAGGGGCCUAGCGUUGUCCGGAUUUAUUGGGCGUAAAGAGCUCGUAGGCGGUUCGGCAAGUCGGAUGUGAAAUCUCCACGCUUAACGUGGAGGGGCCAUUCGAAGCUGCCGUGACUCGAGUCCGGUAGGGGAGUGUGGAAUUCCUGGUGUAGCGGUGAAAUGCGCAGAUAUCAGGAGGAACACCAGUAGCGAAGGCGGCACUCUGGGCCGGUACUGACGCUGAGGAGCGAAAGCGUGGGGAGCGAACAGG
rnacentral:rRNA from 1 species